CAGCAGCCGCGGUAAUACGUAGGGUGCGAGCGUUGUCCGGAAUUAUUGGGCGUAAAGAGCUUGUAGGCGGUCUGUCGCGUCUGCUGUGAAAACCCGAGGCUCAACCUCGGGCCUGCAGUGGGUACGGGCAGACUAGAGUGCGGUAGGGGAGAACGGAACUCCUGGUGUAGCGGUGGAAUGCGCAGAUAUCAGGAAGAACACCGAUGGCGAAGGCAGUUCUCUGGGCCGUAACUGACGCUGAGAAGCGAAAGCGUGGGGAGCGAACAGGAUUAGAUACCCCAGUAGUCCCUGUCUCUUAUAC
rnacentral:rRNA from 1 species